rnacentral:lncRNA from 1 species
GAACAAUUAUUUAUUCUGUUAUUGCUGAAUUUGAUAGCUUUAUCCAUGACGAUGAAAAACCACAAUAUCCAUCUCUUGAUGAUUAUCGUUUAUAUCCAGAUCUAGAUGCCGUUACAAAGAAUGCGACCAAAUCUAUGACAAAUUCUUGUCAACAAAAUCAAAAUCUAGAUGGAAAAGAUGCAGAGGAGUGUGCAGAGAGUUAGAGGAAAAAUUUAUGGAGAGUACUUGGGGAACGAAUAUUAAAAAAAGGUGCAUCUCGCUUAC